UCUGCAUGGGGAAAUCCACACUGCAAGGCUGUGAAGAAUCUGAAUUGAUUUGCACUGUGCUGCUUGGCUACAUUUUCCUGGUCACAGUGAAGAGGUUCUGCCUGUGGAUCUCCUUGAUGACAGAAUGUUGCUUUAAGCUCCAUAUGGCUAGAUGAAAUUUAUAGAGAGACCACCGCCACAUUUACGUCUUACAAGCAGAAAAAUCCAAUCUUGCUUUACAGCAUCUCAUAGAAAUGUAAACACCCCAGAAUUGGAUGAAGCAACCCUCAUUUUUAACUUGAUGAUCAUAUCAUGGGAGGUGAAUCAAAGAAAGCUCGAGGAAGGCAGAAAGCAGCAGCAAGUGGUGUGAUCUCCUUGGACUGCCAGCUCUCUGAAGCAGGAGCCUGUCUUUUAGGUGCUUUACAGACAUACAAGUGCACUUUUGCAUGCUCUGGGCCUGAUUCUGAUAUCCU